rnacentral:rRNA from 1 species
GAUUGUAAAGCACUUUAAGUUGGGAGGAAGGGCAGUAAGUUAAUACCUUGCUGUUUUGACGUUACCAACAGAAUAAGCACCGGCUAACUUCAUGCCAGCAGCCGCGGUAAU